rnacentral:rRNA from 1 species
UCGGCUAUAAAUAAUUGUUAGUGGCAGACGGGUGAGUAAUGCAUAGGAAUCUACCUAGUAGUAUGGAAUAGCCAUUAGAAAUGAUGGGUAAUACUGUAUAAUCCCUGCGGGGGAAAGAUUUAUCGCUAUUAGAUGAGCCUAUGUUAGAUUAGCUAGUUGGUAAGGUAAUGGCUUACCAAGGCUAUGAUCUAUAGCUGGUCUGAGAGGACGAUCAGCCACACUGGAACUGAGAUACGGUCCAGACUCCUACGGGAGGCAGCAGUGGGGAAUAUUGGACAAUGGGCGAAAGCCUGAUCCAGCUAUGCCGCGUGAGUGAAGAAGGCCUUCGGGUUGUAAAGCUCUUUCAAUAGG